AACGAACGCUAGCGGCGUGGAUUAGGCAUGCAAGUCGCACGAGAAAGGGCUUCGGCCCGAGUAAAGUGGCGGACGGGUGAGUAAUGCGUAGAUGACCUGCCCUGAUGACGGGGAUAACUAGCCGAAAGGUUAGCUAAUACCGGAUGUGGUGCGGAGGCCACGGCUUCUGUAACUAAAGAUGGCCACUGAUUUAAGCUGUCGCAUGAGGAGGGGUUUACGUGCUAUUAGCUAGUUGGUGA
rnacentral:rRNA from 1 species